rnacentral:misc_RNA from 1 species
GAUAAGCUACAAAUAAGAUAACCAGCAAUACAACACAUUUAUAGAUUGUUUGUAACCAUGAGCUCAUGUCCAUGGGUUAUUACAAAUUACUUUACUUCAAAAUAAUACGUAUGAUAUUAUUAAUUAUUCACAAAGUGCUAGCGCACUUUAUGAGAAAUGGCUGCAGAGGAGGGUAAGAGGCCCUUUGUAGAACUAACAUUUCUAUGUUAGUUCAAUUCUACUGCAUAUCCAUUGCAUAAAAUCAAGCACCAUCUUGUCCAAGGCCAGACACUUCAAGAAGGCAGCUAACAAUAUGCAACUUCCUAUGAAGAAAACUGUGACAACUUCAUGAGGUGAUACAGCCAUUAUUGAACACAUGUAAGCUCCAAUUGUUGAAGUUACAGAAAUUAGGAGCCAAGGCAUGAGAGGAAGUUCAUGUGUGAGGAGUGUAAUCAAUGCCAUUGAAGUGAAAAAGGCGAUUGAAUUAAACAAAAUGAAAAGAUGAUUGAUUUCUGCAUCUUGUUUCUCCAAUGGGAAGGUCCUGCUAGACUCAUUAUGAAAAACUUCUGACAUAACUGUGGGAGGUCUUAAUGCAGCAUGGAAAGUGAGAGUUGCCAACAGAGUCGAUGUAAUUAACAACCCAUGAUACUUACUGAUAAGGAAUUCUGACCUGGUUGCUUGUUUCGGGAAUAAGCGCUGCCACUGCUUCCCAACUUCAAUAUAAACCUCACGGUUGCUACUGUCAGCUAUGUCCCUGCCUCUCGAAGCUCCUGCUCUUACAAGAAUUUCUUUUAUCGCCACAUCAACCUCCUCAUUUUCUGGUAUGGCUUCCAAGAUGUCCAGUGCUGUAAAGCCUCCAUUGUUUUUGGCAUUUACCUCAACCAUGUCACUAUGAGUAGGACUAUCUUCCAGCAUUAGUUUUAGGGUUGGAAGUUGUUUCCUGCAGGUUGCAAGAUGCAAAACUGUAUCGCCGCCGCAAUCCUUCCUAUUAAUGACAUCUCUGUAACAGGUUGUCCGUCUAAGCGUCUCCACCAACCACCUGACAACAUCACAGUGACCGUGCCUCACUGCAAGGUGAAGCGGUGUCUCUCUAGUCAUUGGCGUGACAUCCAUCACAGACUCAGGGUAACGAAUCAACAGUUCCCUCAUCGAACUGACCCUCCCUUCCCUCGCUGCCUCGCUCCAUUGAAUACAAGAUGAAGCAGAAACAUGCCCCCAGUGCUCCUGACCCUGGCUAUCCUCACGCUGAAAUUCAUUCGCAUUCCCAUCACAAGCAGCGCGCUCAAUGUUUAAGAGCUCGUGAUACUCUAUGGCACCACCGUCAUCACCAGGUGAAAAUAUCCUAGAAUCCAUUUUCGAUAGCGGGAGUUCCAAACACCGCAG